rnacentral:rRNA from 1 species
UGGGGAAUAUUGCACAAUGGGCGCAAGCCUGAUGCAGCCAUGCCGCGUGUAUGAAGAAGGCAUUCGGGUUGUAAAGUACUUUCAGCGGGGAGGAAGGGAGUAAAGUUAAUACCUUUGCUCAUUGACGUUACCCGCAGAAGAAGCACCGGCUAACUCCGUGCCAGCAGCCGCGGUAAUACGGAGGGUGCAAGCGUUAAUCGGAAUUACUGGGCGUAAAGCGCACGCAGGCGGUUUGUUAAGUCAGAUGUGAAAUCCCCGGGCUCAACCUGGGAACUGCUUCUGAUACUGGCAAGCUUGAGGCUCGUAGAGGGGGGUAGAAUUCCAGGUGGAGCGGUGAAGUGCGUAGAGAUCUGGAGGAAUACCGGUGGCGAAGGCGGCCCCCUGGACGAAGACUGACGCUCAGGUGCGAAAGCGUGGGGAGCAAACAGG